rnacentral:tRNA from 1 species
GUCUUUAUAGUGUAAUUAGCACAUUAAGUUUUCGUCCUAAUAGUGUAUCACUCGGUACUAAAGACU